rnacentral:tRNA from 1 species
GCGCCCGUAGCUCAGCUGGAUAGAGCGCUUCCCUGCGGAGGAAGAGGUCUGAUGUUCGAAUCAUCACGGGCGCACCA